rnacentral:rRNA from 1 species
GCGUAUAUUUAAGUUGUUGCAGUUAAAAAGCUCGUAGUUGGAUUUUGGUUAAGAGGGCGCGGUCGGCCGUUUGGUCUGUACUGCGUUGUCUUGACUUCCUGAUGAGGACAUGCUCUUGGUUAACGCUGAGACAUGGAGUCAUCGUGGUUACUUUGAAAAAAUUAGAGUGUUCAAAGCGGGCUUACGCUUGAAUAUAUUAGCAUGGAAUAACACUAUAGGACUCCUGUCCUAUCUCGUUGGUCUCGGGAUGGGAGUAAUGAUUAAGAGGAACAGUUGGGGGCAUUCGUAUUUCAUUGUCAGAGGUGAAAUUCUUGGAUUUAUGAAAGACGAACUUCUGCGAAAGCAUUUGCCAAGGAUGUUCUCAUUAAUCAAGAACGAAAGUUGGGGGCUCGAAGAUGAUUAGAUACCAUCCUAGUCUCAACCAUAAACGAUGCCGACUAGGGAUUGGUGGAUGUUAAUUGAUGACUUCACCAGCACCUUAUGAGAAAUCAAAGUUUUUGGGUUCCGGGGGGAGUAUGGUCGCAAGGCUGAAACUUAAAGGAAUUG